rnacentral:ncRNA from 2 species
GUCAAAAUCCUCCUAAAAAGCAAGCCGGUUCCAAAUUCCAUGCGAGACCUCGUUUUGAGCCUGUACAUUUUGUAGCUAGUAGUUCAAAAGAUGAAAGACAGGAAGAUCCUUAUGGCCCUCAAACAAAAGAGGUAAAUGAACAAACACAUUUUGCCAGCAUGCCAAGAGACAUCUACCAAGAUUAUACUCAAGACUCUUUCAGUAUACAAGAUGGGAAUUCUCAGUAUUGUCAGUUGGCUGGUCCCUCUCUCAAAAAGCUUAUUAAGCCUGAAAAGCCAACUUUGUAACAUAUUUAAAACUGCUAUUUUCGCUUAUUUCUGGAAUGUAAAAAAAAAAAAUGUAUAAAAAGAAUUAGUGUAUGCUUCCUGAAUAAAAAGGAGCCAAAGUUGA